GCGGGGUGGAGCAGCUUGGUAGCUCGUCGGGCUCAUAACCCGAAGGUCGUCGGUUCAAAUCCGGCCCCCGC
rnacentral:tRNA from 2 species